rnacentral:rRNA from 1 species
AACGAACGCUGGCGGCAUGCCUAACGCAUGCAAGUCGAACGAGACCUUCGGGUCUAGUGGCGCACGGGUGCGUAACGCGUGGGAACCUGCCCUUAGGUUCGGAAUAACUCCCCGAAAGGGGUGCUAAUACCGGAUAAUGUCUUCGGACCAAAGAUUUAUCGCCUUUGGAUGGGCCCGCGUUGGAUUAGCUAGUUGGUAGGGUAAAAGCCUACCAAGGCGACGAUCCAUAGCUGGUCUGAGAGGAUGAUCAGCCACACUGGGACUGGGACACGGCCCAGACUCCUACGGGAGGCAGCAGUGGGGAAUAUUGGACAAUGGGCGAAAGCCUGAUCCAGCAAUGCCGCGUGAGUGAUGAAGGCCUUAGGGUUGUAAAGCUCUUUUACCCGGGAUGAUAAUGACAGUACCGGGAGAAUAAGCUCCGGCUAACUCCGUG